rnacentral:rRNA from 1 species
GACGAACGCUGGCGGCGUGCUUAACACAUGCAAGUCGAACGGGCUCUGUCUGGCUGUGUGCUGGGUGGGGUUCGUGGCGAACGGGUGAGUAAUACGUGAGUAACCUGCCCUCUUCUUUGGAUAAAGCCUUGGAACGGGGGCUAAUACCGGAUAAUCCUUGUCUGGUCGCUGGGCGGGGGGGGGAAGGUUUUUUUCGGUGGGGGUGGGGUUGGGGGCUAUUCGCGUGGUGGGGGGGUGAUGGCCUGCCAAGGCGUUGACCGGUAGCCGGCCCGAGAGGGUGACCGGCCACACUGGGACUGAGAUACGGCCCAGACUCCUACGGGAGGCAGCAGUGGGGGAUAUUGCACAAUGGGCGCAAGCCUGAUGCAGCGACGCCGCGUGGGGGAUGACGGCUUUCGGGUUGUAAACCUCUUUCGUCGGGGGACAAGGCUCUGCUUGGUGGUGGGGUUGAGGGUACCCGGUGAAGAAGCGCCGGCUAACUACGUG